rnacentral:tRNA from 1 species
GCAGGGGUUGCCAAGUCUGGUCAAAGGCGCAGGAUUCAUUAUCCUGUCCGUUAGUCGGUCCGUGAGUUCGAAUCUCACCCCCUGC